rnacentral:rRNA from 1 species
AACGAACGCUGGCGGCAGGCUUAACACAUGCAAGUCGAACGCAUCCUUCGGGGUGAGUGGCAGACGGGUGAGUAACGCGUGGGAACGUGCCCUUCAGUUCGGGAUAACCCAGGGAAACUUGGGCUAAUACCGGAUACGUGCGAGAGCAGAAAGAUUUAUCGCUGAAGGAUCGGCCCGCGUCUGAUUAGCUAGUUGGUGGGGUAAUGGCCCACCAAGGCGACGAUCAGUAGCUGGUCUGAGAGGAUGAUCAGCCACAUUGGGACUGAGACACGGCCCAAACUCCUACGGGAGGCAGCAGUGGGGACUAUUGGACAAUGGGCGCAAGCCUGAUCCAGCCAUGCCGCGUGAGUGAUGAAGGCCUUAGGGUUGUAAAGCUCUUUCGUCCGGGACGAUAAUGACGGUACCGGAAGAAGAAGCCCCGGCUAACUUCGUGUCAGCCGCCGCGGUAAUAC